rnacentral:lncRNA from 1 species
CCAGAACCCCCUGCAGGUCGGGGCUGAGCUCCAGUCCCGCUUCUUUGCCUCCCAGGGCUGCGCCCAGAGUCCAUUCCAGGCCGCGCCGGCGCCCCCGCCCACGCCCCAGGCCCCGGCGGCCGAGCCCCUCCAGGUGGACUUGCUCCCGGUGCUCGCCGCCGCCCAGGAGUCCGCCCGGCAGCAGCGGCAGCAGUAGCAGCCCCUCCCACAGCUGUGGGCUCCCUCUCGGGGGCGGAGGGGGUGCCUGUGAGCUCUCAGCCACUUCCCUCCCAACCCUGGUGAGCUCCAAGUUGGUUGCGGGGGAGAGGGGAGAAUGGAGUAGAGUCCCUUGGUACAAGCUCCUCUCCCCCCUCUUUUCCCACCAACUCCUAUUUCCCUACCAACCAAGGAGCCUCCAGAAGGAAAGGAGGAAGAAAUGUUUUCUUAGGGGAAUUCGCUAGGUUUUAACGAUUUGUUUCUCCUGCUCCUCUUCUGUCAGACCUGACCCCACACAAACCUGUCCCCUCGGUUGUGUUGAAGUCCCCUGGACAGUGGGCAGGGGUGGCAGAGGACACGAGCAGCCACUGCCCGUACCCCCUCUCCUCUCUGUAAGCCCAUGCCCUGUCUUCCCAGGGACUUGUGAGCCUCUUCCCUCGACGGUCCUCUUCUCUCCUUCCAGUCCUCUCCCCCUGCUGUCUGCAGCCCCUCCCCGGGGAGUUGGUGCUUUCUUUUCCUUUUUUUUUUUUUUCCAGGGGGAGGGAGGAGAGGAAGGAGGGGGAUCAGAGCUGUCCCAAAGAGGGAAAGCGGUGAGGUUUGAGGAGGGGCAGAAGCAGGGCCGGCAAAGGUUGUACCUUCAUAAGGUGGUAUGGGGGGUUGGGGUCAGGCCCUGAACAUCGUCCUACUUGAGAAUCUGUCAGGGGAAAAAGUCAAGGGGAGCAGGAGGAAGAGCCAGGAGGGCCAGAGGCAGAGAAGAGAUGGAGUCUUAGGGGCCAGGGUGAGCGAGGGGUCCAGGGCCUAGAGGUGCUUCCUGGGGGCGGGGGAAUGCAGCCAGUGUCCCCCUCCCCUCUUCCACCCCAGCUCCAGCCCUGGUCUUGUCUUUUCAUCCCUCUUCCCCACGACAGAAGAAGUUGUGGCCCUGGCCAUGUCAUCGUGUUCCUGUGUCCCCUGCAUGUACCCCACCCUCCACCCCUUCCUUUUGCGCGGACCCCAUUACAAUAAAUUUUAAAUAAA